rnacentral:rRNA from 1 species
GUGAGGAAUAUUGGUCAAUGGGCGAGAGCCUGAACCAGCCAAGUAGCGUGAAGGAUGACUGCCCUAUGGGUUGUAAACUUCUUUUAUAAAGGAAUAAAGUCGGGUAUGGAUACCCGUUUGCAUGUACUUUAUGAAUAAGGAUCGGCUAACUCCGUGCCAGCAGCCGCGGUAAUACGGAGGAUCCGAGCGUUAUCCGGAUUUAUUGGGUUUAAAGGGAGCGUAGAUGGAUGUUUAAGUCAGUUGUGAAAGUUUGCGGCUCAACCGUAAAAUUGCAGUUGAUACUGGAUAUCUUGAGUGCAGUUGAGGCAGGCGGAAUUCGUGGUGUAGCGGUGAAAUGCUUAGAUAUCACGAAGAACUCCGAUUGCGAAGGCAGCCUGCUAAGCUGCAACUGACAUUGAGGCUCGAAAGUGUGGGUAUCAAACAGGAUUAGAUACCCGAGUAGUCC